CCUACGGGAGGCAGCAGUAGGGAAUAUUGCUCAAUGGGGGAAACCCUGAAGCAGCAACGCCGCGUGGAGGAUGAAGGUUUUCGGAUUGUAAACUCCUUUUGUUAGAGAAGAUAAUGACGGUAUCUAACGAAUAAGCACCGGCUAAUUCCGUGCCAGCAGCGGCGGUACUACGGAGGGUGCAAGCGUUAUUCGGAUUCACUGGGCGUAAAGGGCGCGUAGGCGGGUUAGCAAGUCAGAUGUGAAAUCCUUUGGCUUAACCGUAGAAUUGCAUUUGAAACUGUUAUUCUAGAGUAGAGGUGAGGUAGGUGGAAUUCUUGGUGUAGGGGUGAAAUGCGUAGAGAUCACGAAGAAUACUCAUUGCGAAGGCGACCUGCUAGAACGUAACUGACGCUGAUGCGCGAAAGCGUGGGGAGCAAACAGGAUUAGAUACCCGAGUAGUC
rnacentral:rRNA from 1 species